UACGUAGGGUGCAAGCGUUGUCCGGAAUUAUUGGGCGUAAAGAGCUCGUAGGCGGUCUGUCACGUCGGCUGUGAAAAACCCGGGGCUCAACCCCCGGGCCUGCAGUCGAUACGGGCAGACUAGAGUGCGGUAGGGGAGACUGGAAUUCCUGGUGUAGCGGUGAAAUGCGCAGAUAUCAGGAGGAACACCGGUGGCGAAGGCGGGUCUCUGGGCCGUAACUGACGCUGAGGAGCGAAAGCGUGGGGAGCGAACAGG
rnacentral:rRNA from 1 species